UCAUUUUUCAAGGAUAGUUUUCCCAUUUUGGGCCUUUUCCUUGCCUAACUGUGGAUAAAUUUUCUUAUUUCCCCUUAAAUCGUAAUCGCCAGAGAAACCAAAGGUAGGUUGAAAUUUCAUAUGCAUUUGUUUUAUAUAUACGAGAUUUUAUACUUCCCUACGUUCAUUAUGUGGCUGAAGUUGGUAGAGCUUGAAGAUGGGGAAACUGACAUUUGGUGAAUUGUGAUACUUGUUUGAAUUUCAACCUUUGUGAAGUUAUCUUUAUAUUGAAGGAUGGGGAUAAAUUUUAGAUUUUGUAAAAUGCCGGAAUGUUACAUUUGAGGAAAUACAAUUCAGUAUCUGCGAGUUCCAGAUGAGGUAUGCUGCAUUUCUGGAAAACCACUUGGAGUUGGAUGUGGAAAAGGAAGAGGUAGAGAUGACAGUGCUGCAGGAAGCAAUCAAGAGGAAUUGGUCGUGCUGUGGAUGAUGGUGCUAAAGGUGGAGGGCAAGAAAAGGGAAUGUCUGGUAGCAAAUAUUCUGAUAACAGAGGUGGUGGCCGGGCACAUGGCUGAUUGUUUAUAAACUAUGAGGCAAUUUUAGGUGAGGAGUGCCACUUUUAUCGGCAAGAUAUUUGCGCCGAGUUACAGAGCAAGAUAAAAGAUCUUGUUUAUUCUACCAGCGGCUUCGAGUGUGUAAGAUAAGAUAAUUGGAUGUUUGAGUAAUAAAUGGUGAUACUUUACAUUUGACUGGUGCUUAUUUAUAUUUGAGUGAAGUGUAAUUAGUCUGGAACUGUUGCACCUCUAACAUGGUAGAUCUUUUCUUUUAUGGUUAGGGAAUCCUUCACAAACUGUACAAGUAGGAAUAUAUUUCGAAUGCAGCAUUCAAUAGAACUAGAUAGUACAUUGUACAUUAUUCUAACUUAUUUUUCUUUUUUAAUACUGUAGUGCUAUUUAUUCAUCCUUAC